rnacentral:rRNA from 1 species
CACGUAGGGGGCGAGCGUUGUCCGGAUUUAUUGGGCGUAAAGAGCUCGUAGGCGGCUUAGUAAGUUGGGUGGGAAACCUCCAGGCUCAACCUGGAGACGCCACCCGAUACUGCUAUAGCUAGAGUCCGGUAGGGGAGCGUGGAAUUCCUGGUGUAGCGGUGAAAUGCGCAGAUAUCAGGAGGAACACCAGCGGCGCAAGCGGCGGCCUGGGUAUGACCUGACACUGAGCCACGACGGCGUGGGGAGCAAACGGG